GCAGUCGAACGGUGAACACGGAGCUUGCUCUGUGGGAUCAGUGGCGAACGGGUGAGUAACACGUGAGCAACCUGCCCCUGACUCUGGGAUAAGCGCUGGAAACGGCGUCUAAUACUGGAUACGAACCACGAAGGCAUCUUCAGUGGUUGGAAAGAUUUAUUGGUUGGGGAUGGGCUCGCGGCCUAUCAGCUUGUUGGUGAGGUAAUGGCUCACCAAGGCGUCGACGGGUAGCCGGCCUGAGAGGGUGACCGGCCACACUGGGACUGAGACACGGCCCAGACUCCUACGGGAGGCAGCAGUGGGGAAUAUUGCACAAUGGGCGCAAGCCUGAUGCAGCAACGCCGCGUGAGGGAUGACGGCCUUCGGGUUGUAAACCUCUUUUAGCAGGGAAGAAGCGAAAGUGACGGUACCUGCAGAAAAAGCGCCGGCUAACUACGUGCCAGCAGCCGCGGUAAUACGUAGGGCGCAAGCGUUAUCCGGAAUUAUUGGGCGUAAAGAGCUCGUAGGCGGUUUGUCGCGUCUGCUGUGAAAUCCGGAGGCUCAACCUCCGGCCUGCAGUGGGUACGGGCAGACUAGAGUGCGGUAGGGGAGAUUGGAAUUCCUGGUGUAGCGGUGGAAUGCGCAGAUAUCAGGAGGAACACCGAUGGCGAAGGCAGAUCUCUGGGCCGUAACUGACGCUGAGGAGCGAAAGGGUGGGGAGCAAACAGGCUUAGAUACCCUGGUAGUCCACCCCGUAAACGUUGGGAACUAGUUGUGGGGUCCAUUCCACGGAUUCCGUGACGCAGCUAACGCAUUAAGUUCCCCGCCUGGGGAGUACGGCCGCAAGGCUAAAACU
rnacentral:rRNA from 1 species